rnacentral:rRNA from 1 species
AUUGAACGCUGGCGGCAUGCCUUACACAUGCAAGUCGAACGGUAACAGGUCUUCGGAUGCUGACGAGUGGCGAACGGGUGAGUAAUACAUCGGAACGUGCCCGAUCGUGGGGGAUAACGGAGCGAAAGCUUUGCUAAUACCGCAUACGAUCUACGGAUGAAAGCAGGGGACCGCAAGGCCUUGCGCGGACGGAGCGGCCGAUGGCAGAUUAGGUAGUUGGGGGGAUAAAAGCUUACCAAGCCGACGAUCUGUAGCUGGUCUGAGAGGACGACCAGCCACACUGGGACUGAGACACGGCCCAGACUCCUACGGGAGGCAGCAGUGGGGAAUUUUGGACAAUGGGCGAAAGCCUGAUCCAGCCAUGCCGCGUGCAGGAUGAAGGCCUUCGGGUUGUAAACUGCUUUUGUACGGAACGAAAAGACUCUUACUAAUAAAGAGGGUCCAUGACGGUACCGUAAGAAUAAGCACCGGCUAACUACGUG